rnacentral:rRNA from 1 species
UGGCUCAGGAUGAACGCUGGCGGCGUGCCUAAUACAUGCAAGUCGAGCGAACAGACGAGAAGCUUGCUUCUCUGAUGUUAGCGGCGGACGGGUGAGUAACACGUGGAUAACCUACCUAUAAGACUGGGAUAACUUCGGGAAACCGGAGCUAAUACCGGAUAAUAUUUUGAACCGCAUGGUUCAAAAGUGAAAGACGGUCUUGCUGUCACUUAUAGAUGGAUCCGCGCUGCAUUAGCUAGUUGGUAAGGUAACGGCUUACCAAGGCAACGAUGCAUAGCCGACCUGAGAGGGUGAUCGGCCACACUGGAACUGAGACACGGUCCAGACUCCUACGGGAGGCAGCAGUAGGGAAUCUUCCGCAAUGGGCGAAAGCCUGACGGAGCAACGCCGCGUGAGUGAUGAAGGUCUUCGGAUCGUAAAACUCUGUUAUUAGGGAAGAACAUAUGUGUAAGUAACUGUGCACAUCUUGACGGUACCUAAUCAGAAAGCCACGGCUAACUACGUGCCAGCAGCCGCGGUAAUACGUAGGUGGCAAGCGUUAUCCGGAAUUAUUGGGCGUAAAGCGCGCGUAGGCGGUUUUUUAAGUCUGAUGUGAAAGCCCACGGCUCAACCGUGGAGGGUCAUUGGAAACUGGAAAACUUGAGUGCAGAAGAGGAAAGUGGAAUUCCAUGUGUAGCGGUGAAAUGCGCAGAGAUAUGGAGGAACACCAGUGGCGAAGGCGACUUUCUGGUCUGUAACUGACGCUGAUGUGCGAAAGCGUGGGGAUCAAACAGGAUUAGAUACCCUGGUAGUCCACGCCGUAAACGAUGAGUGCUAAGUGUUAGGGGGUUUCCGCCCCUUAGUGCUGCAGCUAACGCAUUAAGCACUCCGCCUGGGGAGUACGACCGCAAGGUUGAAACUCAAAGGAAUUGACGGGGACCCGCACAAGCGGUGGAGCAUGUGGUUUAAUUCGAAGCAACGCGAAGAACCUUACCAAAUCUUGACAUCCUUUGACAACUCUAGAGAUAGAGCCUUCCCCUUCGGGGGACAAAGUGACAGGUGGUGCAUGGUUGUCGUCAGCUCGUGUCGUGAGAUGUUGGGUUAAGUCCCGCAACGAGCGCAACCCUUAAGCUUAGUUGCCAUCAUUAAGUUGGGCACUCUAAGUUGACUGCCGGUGACAAACCGGAGGAAGGUGGGGAUGACGUCAAAUCAUCAUGCCCCUUAUGAUUUGGGCUACACACGUGCUACAAUGGACAAUACAAAGGGCAGCGAAACCGCGAGGUCAAGCAAAUCCCAUAAAGUUGUUCUCAGUUCGGAUUGUAGUCUGCAACUCGACUACAUGAAGCUGGAAUCGCUAGUAAUCGUAGAUCAGCAUGCUACGGUGAAUACGUUCCCGGGUCUUGUACACACCGCCCGUCACACCACGAGAGUUUGUAACACCCGAAGCCGGUGGAGUAACCUUUUAGGAGCUAGCCGUCGAAGGUGGGACAAAUGAUUGGGGUGAAGUCGU